AGACACCUACGGGUGGCAGCAGUAGGGAAUAUUGCACAAUGGGCGAAAGCCUGAUGCAGCAACGCCGCGUGCGCGAAGAAGGCCUUCGGGUUGUAAAGCGCUUUUCGGGGAGAUGAGGAAGGACAGUAUCCCCGGAAUAAGGCUCGGCUAACUACGUGCCAGCAGCCGCGGUAACACGUAGGAGCCAAGCGUUAUCCGAAUUCACUGGGCGUAAAGCGCGUGUAGGCGGCUCGGUAAGUUGGAUGUGAAAUCUCCUGGCUCAACUGGGAGAGGACGUUCAAUACUGUCGGGCUAGAGGACGGCAGAGGGAGGUGGAAUUCCCGGCGUAGUGGUGAAAUGCGUAGAUAUCGGGAGGAACACCAGUGGCGAAGGCGGCCUUCUGGACCAUUUCUGACGCUCAGACGCGAAAGCUAUGGUAGCAAACGGGAUUAGAGACCCCGGUAGUCCUAGCAGUAAACGAUGUGAACUUGGCGUCGGUGGUGUAAAAACCAUCGGUGCCGAAGCUAACGCGAUAAGUUCACCACCUGGGAACUACGGCCGCAAGGUUAAAACUCAAAGGAAUUGACGGGUCCCCGCACAAGCAGCGGAGCGUGUGGUUUAAUUCGAUGUUACACGAAGAACCUUACCCGGGUUUGACAUACAAGUGGUAGUGAAACGAAAGUGGAACGACCCUUCGGGGAGCUUGAACAGGUGCUGCAUGGCUGUCGUCAGCUCGUGUCGUGAGAUGUCCGGUUAAGUCCGGUAACGAGCGCAACCCUCGCCGUAUGUUACAAGUGUCAUACGGGACCGCCGGUAUCAAGCCGGAGGAAGGUGGGGAUGACGUCAAGUCAGCAUGGCCUUUAUGUCCUGGGCUACACACACGCUACAAUGGCCAACACAAUAGGUUGCUAAGCCGCGAGGUGGAGCCAAUCCUCAAAGUUGGUCUCAGUUCAGAUUGUAGGCUGCAACUCGCCUGCAUGAAGAUGGAGUUGCUAGUAACCGCAGGUCAGCUAUACUGCGGUGAAUACGUUCCCGGGGCUUGUACACACCGCCCGUCACGUCAUGGAAGUUGGCAACACCUGAAGCCGGUAUCCUAACCGCAAGGAGGGAGCCGUCGAAGGUGGGGUCGAUAACUGGGACGAAGUCGUAACAAGGUAACC
rnacentral:rRNA from 1 species